AUUGAACGCUGGCGGAAUGCUUUACACAUGCAAGUCGAACGGCAGCACGGACUUCGGUCUGGUGGCGAGUGGCGAACGGGUGAGUAAUGUAUCGGAACGUGCCCAGUCGUGGGGGAUAACGUAGUGAAAAUUACGCUAAUACCGCAUACGAUCUAUGGAUGAAAGCGGGGGAUCGCAAGACCUCGCGCGAUUGGAGCGGCCGAUAUCAGAUUAGGUAGUUGGUGGGGUAAAGGCCCACCAAGCCAACGAUCUGUAGCUGGUCUGAGAGGACGACCAGCCACAAUGGAACUGAGACACGGUCCAGACUCCUACGGGAGGCAGCAGUGGGGAAUUUUGGACAAUGGGCGAAAGCCUGAUCCAGCCAUUCCGCGUGCAGGAUGAAGGCCCUCGGGUUGUAAACUGCUUAAGUACAGAACGAAAAGGUUUAGAAGAAUACUAGGAGCUCAUGACGGUACUGUAAGAAUAAGCACCGGCUAACUACGUGCCAGCCGCCGCUGUAA
rnacentral:rRNA from 1 species